GCCCCUCAGCACAAAAUCAACAUUUCACUGCUUCUUCUGAACCAUUCUUACCUACGUUCAUCUCCUCAUAGAAACUACCUUGCUCCUGAGCACAGCAGUCUCUCCCUUUAGCCUGGAAGCUCCCACAAUUGAAGGGGAAGGUUCCGUGCAGCAAUAAGAUCAUCAAAUGGGGUUUAAACACUGCUAUUCUUCUGAUCAGGACGAUCAAGUUACAGCACAGAACGUUUACAGGACUUGCUGCUAAGCUGCUGAGCAACAACUAGUAUUUCUUUGGGUCUGCUAAGUGACAGAUGAAUUUGCCUCACAAUGAAAAAUAAAAGCCAUUUCUAGAUUCAUGUCAAGGCAAAAAAAGAGGCCCUAACAUUGCAGAACUACAGUUAGAGCUCUAACUUAAUGUGAGUAUGUAAAAUAAAUAUUUUAAAAAUAUUACAAUCAUAAUGUAAUAUAUGUGUCUAAAAGAAGUUUCUU
rnacentral:lncRNA from 1 species